AGAGUUUGAUCAUGGCUCAGGAUGAACGCUGGCGGCGUGCCUAACACAUGCAAGUCGUACGCUUGUAAAAGCGUGGCGAACGGGUGAGUAAUGGCAAGGAACGUGCCUUAUUCCGGGAAAUACCCAGCCGAAAGGUUGGCUAAUGUCCCAUAGUCUCGCAAGAGUAAAGCUCCGGCGGAAUAAGAUCGGCCUUGCUCCUAUCAGCUUGUUGGUAAGGUAAUGGCUUACCAAGGCUACSACGGGUAGCUGGUCUGAGAGGAUGAUCAGCCACAAUGGGACUGAGACACGGCCCAUACACCUACGGGUGGCAGCAGUUGGGAAUAUUGCACAAUGGACGACAGUCUGAUGCAGCGACGCCGCGUGAAGGAAGACGCCCCUCGGGGUGUAAACUUCUUUUGUGAGGGAAGAUUGUGACGGUACCUCACGAAUAAGAGCCUGCUAACUACGUGCCAGCCGCCGCGGUAAUUCA
rnacentral:rRNA from 1 species